AUAGAUAGAGGUGCGGUUGUUAAUAGUAGAUUCGCUUUACGGUUUCGCAAACUUCGGGCGAGUUGAAAGGAACUGCCGCCGAAAGAUCGUUCAGGCGUGUUCGGUCUUGGGAGUACGGAGAAUAUCCGUGCUACUGUCGCAAAUGCGGAGAGCUAUCUU
rnacentral:ncRNA from 1 species